UACGGAGGGUGCAAACGUUGCUCGGAAUCAUUGGGCGUAAAGCGCACGUAGGCGGACCGCUAAGUCGGAUGUGAAAGCCCUCGGCUUAACCGAGGAAGUGCAUUCGAAACUGACGGUCUUGAGUAUGGAAGAGGGUCGCGGAAUUCCCAGUGUAGAGGUGAAAUUCGUAGAUAUUCGCAAGAACACCAGUGGCGAAGGCGGCUUACUGGUCCGGUUCUGACGCUGAGGCGCGAAAGCGUGGGGAGCAAACAGG
rnacentral:rRNA from 1 species